rfam:Haemonchus contortus, ISE/inbred ISE, WGS project CAVP01000000 data, contig: Hcontortus_46560
GGCCCAAUUUCGAAGUAGAGUAGCUUAGAAGGAUCAUUUGAGCCUACUAAACUACUCUACUUCGAGUUUGUGCCC